GACGAACUUUGGCGGCGUGCUUAACACAUGCAAGUCGAACGGAAAGGCCCUGCUUUUGUGGGGUGCUCGAGUGGCGAACGGGUGAGUAACACGUGAGUAACCUGCCCUUGACUUUGGGAUAACUUCAGGAAACUGGGGCUAAUACCGGAUAGGAGCUCCUGCUGCAUGGUGGGGGUUGGAAAGUUUCGGCGGUUGGGGAUGGACUCGCGGCUUAUCAGCUUGUUGGUGGGGUAGUGGCUUACCAAGGCUUUGACGGGUAGCCGGCCUGAGAGGGUGACCGGCCACAUUGGGACUGAGAUACGGCCCAGACUCCUACGGGAGGCAGCAGUGGGGAAUAUUGCACAAUGGGCGGAAGCCUGAUGCAGCAACGCCGCGCGCGGGAUGACGGCCUUCGGGUUGUAAACCGCUUUCGCCUGUGACGAAGCGUGAGUGACGGUAAUGGGUAAAGAAGCACCGGCUAACUACGUGCCAGCAGCCGCGGUGAUACGUAGGGUGCGAGCGUUGUCCGGAUUUAUUGGGCGUAAAGGGCUCGUAGGUGGUUGAUCGCGUCGGAAGUGUAAUCUUGGGGCUUAACCCUGAGCGUGCUUUCGAUACGGGUUGACUUGAGGAAGGUAGGGGAGAAUGGAAUUCCUGGUGGAGCGGUGGAAUGCGCAGAUAUCAGGAGGAACACCAGUGGCGAAGGCGGUUCUCUGGGCCUUUCCUGACGCUGAGGAGCGAAAGCGUGGGGAGCGAACAGGCUUAGAUACCCUGGUAGUCCACGCUGUAAACGGUGGGUACUAGGUGUGGGGUCCAUUCCACGGGUUCCGUGCCGUAGCUAACGCUUUAAGUACCCCGCCUGGGGAGUACGGCCGCAAGGCUAAAACUCAAAGGAAUUGACGGGGCCCCGCACAAGCGGCGGAGCAUGCGGAUUAAUUCGAUGCAACGCGUAGAACCUUACCUGGGUUUGACAUGGAUCGGGAGUGCUCAGAGAUGGGUGUGCCUCUUUUGGGGUCGGUUCACAGGUGGUGCAUGGCUGUCGUCAGCUCGUGUCGUGAGAUGUUGGGUUAAGUCCCGCAACGAGCGCAACCCUUGUUCACUGUUGCCAGCACGUUAUGGUGGGGACUCAGUGGAGACCGCCGGGGUCAACUCGGAGGAAGGUGGGGAUGACGUCAAGUCAUCAUGCCCCUUAUGUCCAGGGCUUCACGCAUGCUACAAUGGCUGGUACAGAGAGUGGCGAGCCUGUGAGGGUGAGCGAAUCUCGGAAAGCCGGUCUCAGUUCGGAUUGGGGUCUGCAACUCGACCUCAUGAAGUCGGAGUCGCUAGUAAUCGCAGAUCAGCAACGCUGCGGUGAAUACGUUCCCGGGGCU
rnacentral:rRNA from 1 species